rnacentral:rRNA from 1 species
CCUACGGGUGGCAGCAGUCGAGAAUCAUUCACAAUGGGGGAAACCCUGAUGGUGCGACGCCGCGUGGGGGAAUGAAGGUCUUCGGAUUGUAAACCCCUGUCAUGUGGGAGCAAAUUAAAAAGAUAGUACCACAAGAGGAAGAGACGGCUAACUCUGUGCCAGCAGCCGCGGUAAUACAGAGGUCUCAAGCGUUGUUCGGAAUCACUGGGCGUAAAGCGUGCGUAGGCUGUUUCGUAAGUCGUGUGUGAAAGGGGCGGGCUCAACCCGAGGACGGCACAUGAUACUGCGAGACUAGAGUAAUGGAGGGGGAACCGGAAUUCUCGGUGUAGCAGUGAAAUGCGUAGAUAUCGAGAGGAACACUCGGGGCGAAGGCGGGUUCCUGGACAUUAACUGACGCUGAGGCACGAAGGCCAGGGGAGCGAAAGGGAUUAGAUACCCGGGUAGUC